GCCUCAGUAGCUCAGCGGGAGAGCGCCGGACUGAAGAUCCGGGUGUCGCGUGUUCAAAUCACGCCUGAGGCUCCA
rnacentral:tRNA from 1 species